rnacentral:lncRNA from 1 species
AACAAGCAAAAAUUACCAUGGAGAGCAGCUCCUAAGGAAUGGCACUGUAGUUGUUCUCUGAACCUACACACAUGCACACACACUACAUACCACACACAUGUUCGUGUACACACACAUACACAUUACAAGUUCUCUAACACACACACACACACACACAUGCACACACACUACAUACCACACACACAUGUUCAUGUACACACACAUACACAUUACAAGUUCUCUAACCUACACACACACACACACAUGCACACACACUACAUACCACACACAGACACACACAUGUUCAUGUACACACACAUUCACACACACACAUGUACAUACACACAUGCACACACACUACAUACCACACACAUACACACACACACAUGUUCAUGUACACACACAUACACAUUACAAGUUCUCUAACCUACACACACACACACACACGCACACACACUACAUACCACACACAGACACACACAUGUUCGUGUACACACACAUUCACACACACACAUGUACACACACACAUGCACACACAUA